rnacentral:rRNA from 1 species
CGGUGUUUAACUGGCGUGAUGUGGGACGUCCUACCGGUGGGCUUAGCCUCGCGAGGGGCGGCCCAACUAGUAUCCCGUCGCGGUGCUCUUUACUGAGUGUCGAGUCGGGCCGGUACGUUUACUUUGAACAAAUUAGAGUGCUUAAAGCAGGCUAUCCUCGCCUGAAUACUGCGUGCAUGGAAUAAUGGAAUAGGACCUCGGUUCUAUUUUGUUGGUUUUCGGAACCCCGAGGUAAUGAUUAAUAGGGACAGAUGGGGGCAUUCGUAUUGCGACGUUAGAGGUGAAAUUCUUGGAUCGUCGCAAGACGGACAGAAGCGAAAGCAUUUGCCAAAAAUGUUUUCAUUAAUCAAGAACGAAAGUUAGAGGUUCGAAGGCGAUCAGAUACCGCCCUAGUUCUAACCAUAAACGAUGCCAGCUAGCGAUCCGCCGAAGUUCCUCCGAUGACUCGGCGGGCAGCUUCCGGGAAACCAAAGCUUUUGGGUUCCGGGGGAAGUAUGGUUGCAAAGCUGAAACUUAAAGGAAUUGACGGAAGGGCACCACCAGGAGUGGAGCCUGCGGCUUAAUUUGACUCAACACGGGAAACCUCACCAGGCCCAGACACCGGAAGGAUUGACAGAUUGAUAGCUCUUUCUUGAUUCGGUGGGUGGUGGUGCAUGGCCGUUCUUAGUUGGUGGAGCGAUUUGUCUGGUUAAUUCCGAUAACGAACGAGACUCUAGCCUGCUAAAUAGGCGUACCUUAUGGUAUCGCGAAGGCCCCCGGCUUCGGCCGGUGGGUUUUUACUACCAACGUACAAACAAAUCUUCUUAGAGGGACAGGCGG